CGCUAUCACUCCUACGGGAGGCAGCAGUGGGGAAUAUUGCACAAUGGGCGCAAGCCUGAUGCAGCCAUGCCGCGUGUAUGAAGAAGGCCUUCGGGUUGUAAAGUACUUUCAGCAGUGAGGAAGGCGGAGUGUUAAUAGCGGCCUCGUUUGACGUUAGCUGCAGAAGAAGCACCGGCUAACUCCGUGCCAGCAGCCGCGGUAAUACGGAGGGUGCGAGCGUUAAUCGGAAUUACUGGGCGUAAAGCGCAUGCAGGCGGCCUGUUAAGUCAGAUGUGAAAGCCCGGGGCUUAACCUCGGAAUUGCAUUUGAAACUGGCAGGCUAGAGUCUUGUAGAGGGGGUAGAAUUUCAGGUGUAGCGGUGAAAUGCGUAGAGAUCUGAAGGAAUACCAGUGGCGAAGGCGGCCCCCUGGACAAAGACUGACGCUCAGAUGCGAAAGCGUGGGGAGCAAACAGGAUUAGAUACCCUGGUAG
rnacentral:rRNA from 1 species